rnacentral:rRNA from 1 species
AUGCCCUGGCAGUCAGAGGCGAUGAAGGGCGUGCUAAUCUGCGAUAAGCGCCGGUAAGGUGAUAUGAACCGUUAUAACCGGCGAUACCCGAAUGGGGAAACCCAGUGUGACUCGUCACACUAUCAUUAACUGAAUCCAUAGGUUAAUGAGGCGAACCGGGGGAACUGAAACAUCUAAGUACCCCGAGGAAAAGAAAUCAACCGAGAUUCCCCCAGUAGCGGCGAGCGAACGGGGAGGAGCCCAGAGCCUGAAUCAGCAUGUGUGUUAGUGGAAGCGUCUGGAAAGGCGCGCGAUACAGGGUGACAGCCCCGUACACAAAAGCGCAUGUGCUGUGAGCUCGAUGAGUAGGGCGGGACACGUGGUAUCCUGUCUGAAUAUGGGGGGACCAUCCUCCAAGGCUAAAUACUCCUGACUGACCGAUAGUGAACCAGUACCGUGAGGGAAAGGCGAAAAGAACCCCGGCGAGGGGAGUGAAAAAGAACCUGAAACCGUGUACGUACAAGCAGUGGGAGCACAGGUUUACCUGUGUGACUGCGUACCUUUUGUAUAAUGGGUCAGCGACUUAUAUUCUGUAGCAAGGUUAACCGUAUAGGGGAGCCGUAGGGAAACCGAGUCUUAACCGGGCGUUAAGUUGCAGGGUAUAGACCCGAAACCCGGUGAUCUAGCCAUGGGCAGGUUGAAGGUUGGGUAACACUAACUGGAGGACCGAACCGACUAAUGUUGAAAAAUUAGCGGAUGACCUGUGGCUGGGGGUGAAAGGCCAAUCAAACCGGGAGAUAGCUGGUUCUCCCCGAAAGCUAUUUAGGUAGCGCCUCGUGAAUUCAUCUCCGGGGGUAGAGCACUGUUUCGGCUAGGGGGCCAUCCCGGCUUACCAACCCGAUGCAAACUGCGAAUACCGGAGAAUGUUAUCACGGGAGACACACGGCGGGUGCUAACGUCCGUCGUGAAGAGGGAAACAACCCAGACCGCCAGCUAAGGUCCCAAAGUCAUGGUUAAGUGGGAAACGAUGUGGGAAGGCCCAGACAGCCAGGAUGUUGGCUUAGAAGCAGCCAUCAUUUAAAGAAAGCGUAAUAGCUCACUGGUCGAGUCGGCCUGCGCGGAAGAUGUAACGGGGCUAAACCAUGCACCGAAGCUGCGGCAGCGACGCUGAUGCGUUGUUGGGUAGGGGAGCGUUCUGUAAGCCUGUGAAGGUGGCCUGUGAGGGUUGCUGGAGGUAUCAGAAGUGCGAAUGCUGACAUAAGUAACGAUAAAGCGGGUGAAAAGCCCGCUCGCCGGAAGACCAAGGGUUCCUGUCCAACGUUAAUCGGGGCAGGGUGAGUCGACCCCUAAGGCGAGGCCGAAAGGCGUAGUCGAUGGGAAACGGGUUAAUAUUCCCGUACUUGGUGUUACUGCGAAGGGGGGACGGAGAAGGCUAUGUUGGCCGGGCGACGGUUGUCCCGGUUUAAGCGUGUAGGUGUGUGUUCCAGGUAAAUCCGGUUCACUUUAACACUGAGGCGUGAUGACGAGGCACUACGGUGCUGAAGCAACAAAUGCCCUGCUUCCAGGAAAAGCCUCUAAGCAUCAGGUAACAUCAAAUCGUACCCCAAACCGACACAGGUGGUCAGGUAGAGAAUACCAAGGCGCUUGAGAGAACUCGGGUGAAGGAACUAGGCAAAAUGGUGCCGUAACUUCGGGAGAAGGCACGCUGACACGUAGGUGAAGUGAUUUACUCAUGGAGCUGAAGUCAGUCGAAGAUACCAGCUGGCUGCAACUGUUUAUUAAAAACACAGCACUGUGCAAACACGAAAGUGGACGUAUACGGUGUGACGCCUGCCCGGUGCCGGAAGGUUAAUUGAUGGGGUCAGCGCAAGCGAAGCUCCUGAUCGAAGCCCCGGUAAACGGCGGCCGUAACUAUAACGGUCCUAAGGUAGCGAAAUUCCUUGUCGGGUAAGUUCCGACCUGCACGAAUGGCGUAAUGAUGGCCAGGCUGUCUCCACCCGAGACUCAGUGAAAUUGAACUCGCUGUGAAGAUGCAGUGUACCCGCGGCAAGACGGAAAGACCCCGUGAACCUUUACUAUAGCUUGACACUGAACAUUGAGCCUUGAUGUGUAGGAUAGGUGGGAGGCUUUGAAGCGUGGACGCCAGUCUGCAUGGAGCCGGCCUUGAAAUACCACCCUUUAAUGUUUGAUGUUCUAACGUGGACCCGUGAUCCGGGUUGCGGACAGUGUCUGGUGGGUAGUUUGACUGGGGCGGUCUCCUCCUAAAGAGUAACGGAGGAGCACGAAGGUUGGCUAAUCCUGGUCGGACAUCAGGAGGUUAGUGCAAUGGCAUAAGCCAGCUUGACUGCGAGCGUGACGGCGCGAGCAGGUGCGAAAGCAGGUCAUAGUGAUCCGGUGGUUCUGAAUGGAAGGGCCAUCGCUCAACGGAUAAAAGGUACUCCGGGGAUAACAGGCUGAUACCGCCCAAGAGUUCAUAUCGACGGCGGUGUUUGGCACCUCGAUGUCGGCUCAUCACAUCCUGGGGCUGAAGUAGGUCCCAAGGGUAUGGCUGUUCGCCAUUUAAAGUGGUACGCGAGCUGGGUUUAGAACGUCGUGAGACAGUUCGGUCCCUAUCUGCCGUGGGCGCUGGAGAACUGAGGGGGGCUGCUCCUAGUACGAGAGGACCGGAGUGGACGCAUCACUGGUGUUCGGGUUGUCAUGCCAAUGGCACUGCCCGGUAGCUAAAUGCGGAAGAGAUAAGUGCUGAAAGCAUCUAAGCACGAAACUUGCCCCGAGAUGAGUUCUCCCUGAGACUUAGAGUCUCCUGAAGGAACGUUGAAGACGACGACGUUGAUAGGCCGGGUGUGUAAGCGCAGCGAUGCGUUGAGCUAACCGGUACUAAUGAACCGUGAGGCUUAACCUUACAACGCCGAAG